CCAAACUUGGUCAUUUAGAGGAAGUAAAAGUCGUAACAAGGUUUCCGUAGGUGAACCUGCGGAAGGAUCAUUAAUAUAGUAGCCAUGGCGACGUCAUGGAUCUACACCGCGCCUCCCCUGAGUCUGAGCGAAAAUUGACAUAACGGGAGGGUCAGUGGCAACCACUUGUGAAACUUCUACCAUUGCUUCGGCAGCGCUCUCAGCGGGCAACCGCUGGAGGGGUAAGGCUGCCAGAGGCCCAUUUUAAAACUAGUUGAUGAAAUGUCAUGCUGUCUGAUAACCACUAUUUGAGAAAUCAAAUUAUAUUAAAACUUUCAGCAACGGAUCUCUUGGUUCUCGCAUCGAUGAAGAACGCAGC
rnacentral:misc_RNA from 1 species